AAAUGAAACACUCUAUAGAAAAGAAAGUCUUCAUAAUAAUUAUUUUUUAGAAAGAGAAAUUUUUGAAAUGAUUAAUUCAAACAAAAAAAAUAUUGCCAAAAAAGCUAAUCUUCAAGUUACUAAUAAUAAUUUAACAUUAAUGAAUUAUCCAACAACAUUGGCAACAGCUGAUGUAGUAGAAAAUGCGAACUAUGUUGAAUAUAAAUUAGCAAAAAAAAAUUAUAAGUCCUGGAAUGAACUACUGUGGAGCUUCAAAUCUAUUGGUUAAAAAAGAAAAAUAUAUUUUCAAAACCUAAUUGGCGCAGUUAACCACAAGAAAGAAUGUGUUUCAUCUGUGCAGCAAUAUAAUUUUCUUGAAGAAAAUGGUGAUAUACAAAUUAAAUUAGAUAUGAAACUCGCUAACACUUUCAUUGGAAAAAAUGUAAAGUCUCAUGAUGAAAUACGGAAACCUUGCAUUAUUAGUACUGUAGUUUUAAAAGAACCACUCAUUAAGAAAAAGAAACUUGAAUUGUAUUAGGAUAAUUCUAUAGAUGGCAUUAAUUCUAAUGACGGAGAAAAGGAAAAUAUAAAUACUUUGAAGAAAAUGUGUACAAUUAAAGACAGGGAUGAUUGUCAGCCUGAUAACAUCGAAUGUAUUGAAAGAGAAACUGUUGUGAGGAGAAAAGAGACAGAUGGUAUAAACUUAACGAAAACACCAUCAAGCAGGAAAAUGACAUCUUCAAUAAGUUCUAAUUUCAAAAAUCAAGUUUUCAGUAAUUACGAAAAUCAUCGCCAAAAAACUUACGAAAGAAACGAAUACCAUCCACCUGUUAAUAACUUCGCGAAAAAAAAGAGACAGUGUUGGGAGGAAAGAGAUCAAGCGUUUCAAGAAGCAAUUAAGGAUUUUAAAGAGUGUACUAAUGUAAUAACUUUCUUUUAUGCGAACCAAAGCAAUUUGACUAAUUUGAACUAUACUAACAACAACGAAAGCAACGUUAACAUGAAUAUCAUCCAAGAUGUUAUUAAUAAAGAACUGAAAACGUCAUGAAAUAUGGAUGGAUAUGAGAAGGAGUUAAUUACCACUUUCAGACAAGUAAGUUUUAAAAACAAACGAUUUGUUUUUAGUUCAAUA